CGCGAAUCGCCCUUCGGGGUGCAGCAGGCGCGAAAACUCUACAAUGCAGGCAACUGCGAUAGGGGGACAUCGAGUGGCAUCCACCUUGGGUGCCUGUCCCACCGUCUAAAAAACGGUGGUUAGCAAGGGCCGGGCAAGACCGGUGCCAGCCGCCGCGGUAAUACCGGCGGCUCGAGUGGUGGCCGAUAUUAUUGAGUCUAAAGGGUCCGUAGCCGGCUUUGCAAGUCUCUCGGGAAAUCCAGCGGCUUAACCGUUGGUCGUCCGGGGGGUACUACAUUGCUUGGGACUGGGAGAGGUAGGAGGUACUCAGGGGGUAGGAGUGAAAUCCUGUAAUCCUCUGGGGACCACCGGUGGCGAAGGCGUCCUACCAGAACAGGUCCGACGGUGAGGGACGAAAGCUAGGGGCACGAACCGGAUUAGAUACCCGGGUAGUCCUAGCCGUAAACGAUGCUCGCUAGGUGUCACAACAGUCGUGAACUGUUGUGGUGCCGUAGGGAAGCCGUGAAGCGAGCCACUUGGGAAGUACGACCGCAAGGUUGAAACUUAAAGGAAUUGGCGGGGGAGCAC
rnacentral:rRNA from 1 species